CCUUUUUCCUGCCCAUCUCCAUCAAGCUAUUCAAUGGAGAGGCAGCGAGCAGCAGUGCCUGUCUCUGAACUUACCAGGCAGCAAAGUGGGGAGGCUGCAGCCAGCUCGGGCUGAAUCAGCUCUGUGGGAAGUACCUGAAGCUACCAUCUCCUGUCGUCACAGUCAUCUUAACCAUGCAAAGCAAGUGCUUGUGCACUUCUGAGGCUGAAGAAAUAGUGAUCUUCACUGGAAGUGUACUGCAAUUUACCAAGCAAUACAGUUUUAAGAAAGAUAACUUGAUGGGGAGAGAAGGCAAUGAAGGACUGGCUCCCUGGUUAUGGAAGAGUCUGAUCUUGGUUACCUGAAACCAUCUGGGCAUCCAAACACAACAGGUCUGCAGCAGGAAAGGGGAGGGAGAGCUCAUUUCUUCCCUGGAAUGGAAUGACAUGUCUCAAACUAACACUUGGCCAAGAAGCUUUAUUAUUGUUGGUGUGAUUUCAGAGUUAUAAGGAAAAAGCUCUGAGUGCUGAUGGGGAGGACUUGCACUCUUGCUUCAUGGUGCUUAGAAUUCUAAAAUAAUCCCUUGAAAGAGGAGCACAAUUGCCAUCACAGUUGAAUGUGUUGAUUCUUCUCCCUGCGAAGUCUACAGAGAGCCUUGCUAAAAGGGGGAAAAUUGUC